rnacentral:tRNA from 1 species
UAGAUUAAAGUCCGUCGGUUUGGACAGCUAUUUGUUAAUUAGUUUUUUGUGGGAUCGAGGCCCGCUAGUCU